GCCUAAAUAAGUGUGAGCUGAGCAAAGGUAGUGGACACCUGCGUCCAGCGCACCGGAGUCAUGUCUAAGUGGCUGGAUGAUGGCGAAGUGCUGGUGGGUCAAGGCAGUGGUGAGGCAUUACCAGUGAGCCCCAGACUACGGAGCCUUCCUCCUGGGAGCCCCAGGCCCGGCCGGGGACGCAGUCCGCUGGUUUCACCUCGCGGCAGGGAGGCAAUGCCCUUAAGCCCACCUAAGGAGGCCAUGGGGAAGGCCAAAGAGCUGUUUGUGCUGUGUGACAAAGAGGGGAAAGGUUUCAUCACCAAACGGGAUAUGCAGAGUCUACAAGGGGAGUUGCCAUUGUCCCCUGAACAGCUGGAGACGGUGUUUGAUAGUCUGGACCGAGAGAGCAACGGAUUCCUCACUCCAGCUGAGUUCAAAGCUGGGCUUGGUGAGUUACUUGGGCUGGAUCAGACGACUGAGCUGAGUCAAGACGAAGCAGAUGAGGAUGUAGACGAGACAGACUGGUCCCAGGACCCCACAGCAGGCACAUUUGUAAACAUACUAAUGGAGCUCGGUGCUGACAAACUUUUCAAAGAUCAGCAGGAGCUCCGUUCUCUGUGGUGUGACCUCCAGAGAGACAGACCAGAGCUGCUGAGUGUCCUGGAGGGCGUCUUGGUCCAAGCAGUGUCUCAUUUACAGGAUGCCCUCAGAGAAAGAGACAGUAUGGAACAAGCUCUGCGCAGGAGGGAGAGUGAGCACGAUCAGGUCGUUCGGUCCAUAUAUGAAGACAUGGAAACUCAGAUCAAAGAGGAAAGAGAGAAAUACGUCGCUCAGGACAGUAUUAAGCAGAAGCAGAGAGGACACCAACUUGAGGAGGAUCUGAAGAUGCGGGAGCAAGAGUUGGAGAACACGCUGAGCAAGCAGAAAGAGCUCGAGACCAGAAUCCGCCAGCUCAGCUCUGAGCAAGGAAACAUCAAGGAGCAGAAUGAACAACUACGGAGGCUCAACUUCCAGUUACACGAGCAGGUGGAGAGCAGCAGAGAGCAGCUGCACGUCGCUCUGAGUAAACUCAACAUGCUGCAAAACCACGCGGCCCAGGAGCAAGUGGACAGGCAAAGUUUGUUUCCUUUUAGAAACGUGAUGAGGGUGUCAAGAAAUAUAAAGAAAGAGAAGGAGAGUCUCUUGAAACAACUGGAGAUAUUAAGGGACAUGAACAAAAGGCUGCGAGAUGAGAAAGAUGCUCAACAGUCCCAGAAGAGGAGUCCAAAUCUCACAAAGCCUUUGCAGAAGAGAGGGUCAGUCAUAGGUAACUACUUACUGCAAGACAAUCCGUUGAAAAGAAGACAGCUGAGCUCUUCUGAUGAGUUGGAGCAGGACAGAAACACAGAGGUGGCAAAUGCAUCCAAGAGACACCAACUGUCAUGUAGAGUCAGGGGUGAAAAUGUUGAACAGACCCAGACCCAGACCCAGGUAGGGGAAAAGUAUAUCUAUAAAUCUACUCAAUUUAUUCUAAACUAUCAAUUUAAUUACACAGAUGCAGCAUCAACUUAGACCAGUAAUGAUGGAGAUAAUAUUCUGAGGCUUUUAUUUUCUAUAAAUCAGUUACUACGCACAGAUUUGGCCACUCUUAAAGGCAUAAGAAUUGUAGUGAAACUUUAGACUGAUGUUAAAAUGUUGUUUGGUCCCUUUACCUGAAUUUUAGAGCAGAACUAUGUGUCCUCAGCGAGUGUUCAAGGUGGUAUUUCUGGGUAACUCAGGAGUGGGUAAGAGCUCCUUCAUCCAGCAUUACUGCACAGGACACUUCCACAGUAAAAUGAGCACUACGGUCGGUAAGCUUUUCUUUUACACAACAGUUAACAUGCUUCUCAGUGUAUAUAAGUCAAAUAUGAAACCAUGGGGCUUUGUUGUUUUCAGGUAUAGAUUUUCAGAUGAAGACUUUAACUCUGGACUCCACCACUAUCACCCUGCAGCUCUGGGACACUGCAGGACAAGAGAGGUUUCGCAGCAUCACUGAGCAAUAUUACCGAAAGGCCGACGGCAUCCUCGCCAUGUAUGACGUAACUCAGUCUGCCUCCUUCACAGCAGUGAGAGGGUGGAUGGACUCUGUUAAGGAGAAGAUGUGUGAAGGUUCUGUACUCAUGCUGCUGGGGAACAAGCUGGACUUAGCAGACAGACGCAGCAGAGAAGUGUCAACGGGAGACGGGCAGAAGCUGGCAGAGCAGCACCAGGCGUUGUUUUACGAGUGCAGUGCCAAGACCGGAUGUAACAUGGAGGAGCUGAUGACUCACCUGGCAGGGAUGUUGGUUUCCCAGAACGAUCGACAAUGUGAAGAUGCACUUUUACUGACUGAGGACACGGUUCAAAGAACUUGCUGUACAUAAACAGCGGGAGAGAAGCUUUUGGAACACUAGACGUCUCAGGAGUCCUGCUAUGGUUCAGUGGAGCAGUGUUGUGUCCUGUGCCAACAAUGAUUUAUCAAGCCCUGAAGUCACUGACUGUAACUGAAGACACAAACAUCGGAUUUUCCUGUGAACAAGUUUACUGAAUUGUUUCUGUAAUGUUUACCCAUGUUGUCAUGUAUCUUUAUAAUCUAUCCAAUAAAAGAUAUUUUUCAUGA